CCAGAAAAGAGCUGAGCUCCCUGACUGAAAUCAGUCCUGUCCCUGCAUCCCCAUCUCCACAGCGCACCACAUUCUUUCAAGGUCUGCCCUUACGGACAGGCAGAAGCUGUGGUGUGGGUGCUGCUACAGCCCCAUCAGCAUUCGGGGAGGGGACACGGGCACCUGCCCGAACGCUCGUGAACCGACAGGGGGUUACAAAGCAGUUCCAUCUCACACACUGCAGUAACGGACACACCUUGUCUCUGGAUCAUUCUCUUCCACAGGGAAGGUCUGUGUCUCCCUUACAGUCACGAUCCCACCACGGCUUCUCUGUCCAUCCCCUGCAAUCCGAUGCACCAGACACAGUGACCAGCUGGAAUGGAGAUCACAGAGCAGGAGCCAACACUACUCAGAAGCUCAUCAUGAGACUCAUGCUCAGGAGAAAAAGAUGGAUGGGACUCUGACUGUAACUGAGUUCCCACAGUCAGAUAGACAUGUUCUCCCUCCUCCUUUCCCUCCCUCUUCCCUUCACACCCCUCAAUGUAUAACGCUUUCUACAGGGCCAUGGUCAUCUUGUAUAAACCUGGAUGGUCCCUUGGAAGGGUAACCCCAUGUUUCCUGUUCAGCCUGACUGACUGCUCCCUCCCUGCUCCCUUGCUCCAGCAUUUCUGUAAUGACAGUGUCAGAGUAUCAGGGAACUGAUCCAGCUGUAAACUAGUUCAAGGAAAAAAGUUACUGUCUAGUGGCACCACAGACUUAUUUCAAGGCCCAAAUGACUGGAAGGAGACCCAAGAAGCUGAUGUGGCUGGGCUCCAGGAUCCUGCUGCCCUUUUAUGGGGUAGGCAAGACAUUUGUAAGAAACUCUCUCAGAGCUCAAGAUGAGCUCAGGAUAGUGACCAAAUCUGAACAAAUCUGCUAAGUUUGAUUGUAGCUGGACCCAUUCGUAAUAAACUGGCAUCCACCAAGAAAA